rnacentral:rRNA from 1 species
UGGGGAAUAUUGCACAAUGGGCGCAAGCCUGAUGCAGCCAUGCCGCGUGUGUGAAAGAAGGCCUUCGGGUUGUAAAGCACUUUCAGCGAGGAGGAAGGUGGUGAGCUUAAUACGCUCAUCAAUUGACGUUACUCGCAGAAGAAGCACCGGCUAACUCCGUGCCAGCAGCCGCGGUAAUACGGAGGGUGCAAGCGUUAAUCGGAAUUACUGGGCGUAAAGCGCACGCAGGCGGUUUGUUAAGUCAGAUGUGAAAUCCCCGGGCUCAACCUGGGAACUGCAUUUGAAACUGGCAAGCUAGAGUCUCGUAGAGGGGGGUAGAAUUCCAGGUGUAGCGGUGAAAUGCGUAGAGAUCUGGAGAAUACCGGUGGCGAAGGCGGCCCCCUGGACGAAGACUGACGCUCAGGUGCGAAAGCGUGGGGCAGCAAACAGGAUUAGAUACCCUGGUAGUCCACGCUGUAAACGAUGUCGAUUUUGGAGGUUGUGCCCUUGAGGCGUGGCUUCCGGAGCUAACGCGUUAAAUCGACCGCCUGGGGAGUACGGCCGC